rfam:Agrilus planipennis Contig39353, whole genome shotgun sequence.
UUUUAGUUGGUAGGCGCUCCUUCAGAGUGAAUCCAACACUACCCUGUCGUACGGACGGCAGGGUGUCUUUUGAAGAUUU